rnacentral:ncRNA from 1 species
GGCCGGAUAAGGCGUUCAAGCUGCAUCUGGCGAUACGGUGCACAAUGCCUGAUGCGACGCUGUCGCGUCUUAUCAUGCC